CGCUUCAUUAGCACUGCUGAUUCCUACCUUUAUGCACCUGUCAGAGAGAGACUUCCACUACAGUUAAAUGAGGAAAAGAGCAGGGGGUGGGGGACAGAAGAGGUCAGAACAGUACAGUUAAAAACCGAAGUAGAAAACAUUUUUAACCAAAGCGACUUAUUUUAAUAACAACAGUUGCUGAGGUUAGAUGCCCUGAGCUUCAGCACAUAGUGUUGUAGUUACUUUAUGGAACUUUACAAGCCGGUCCAUCAGUUAUGUGUGAGCUCCAGGCGAGGGGAGGGCUCAGGGGCGUUUGGAAGCCCAGGCUGAGCUCUCUUACUGGGCUGUAAUCCUGGC
ensembl:lncRNA